GACAGUUUGGCCGAGUGGUCUAAGGCGCUAGCUUCAGGCGCUAGUCCGUUAAGGGCGCGAGUUCGAAUCUCGCAGCUGUUA
rnacentral:tRNA from 1 species